AAAGUGCUUCAAACUAGGAAUGUAAACCUGAUAAAGAAGACUGUGCUGAGGAUGCCCUUGCAUGCUGUCAUCCCACUGCUGCAGGAGCUUACGAAGAGGCUGCAGGGACAUCCCAAUAGUGCUGUUUUAAUGGUCCAGUGGCUGAAGUGUGUGCUGACGAUUCAUGCGUCAUACCUGUCCACGCUGCCUGACCUGGUGCACCAGUUGGGAACACUCUACCAGCUAAUGGAAAGCAGAGUCAAAACUUUCCAGAAGCUCUCACACCUGCAUGGGAAGCUCAUUCUUCUCGUCACGCAAGUUACAGCAUCAGAAAAGACGAAAAAAAUGCCCUCCCCUGGACUUAAGGCAAAAUUGGUGUAUGAAGAAGAGUCUUCUGAAGAGGAGUCUGACGAUGAAAUUCCAGAGAAGGAUUCUGAUGAUAAUUGGGAUGAGGAUGAAGAGAAAGACAGUGAGAAUGAUGAGGCUGUCGACGAAGACAGUGAGAAUGAUGAGGCUGUCGACGAGGAAGAUGAGGACAGAGAAGCGGCGAGUGAGAAAGAGUUGAAUGGAGAUUCGGAUUUAGAUCCUGAAAAUGAGAGUGAAGAAGAGUGAAGACAGACACAGCCAGUUACACAAGAAUCCUGGCUCGCCUUGCCCAGUGCUGUCUAUCGCGUCCUCCCAGGGAGGCUUGCCCAGUGCCAGCAGACAAGAGGCCACCAUAUGCUUCCAAUUCACUGAGGCGAUUCCCACACCUCCUUCCUGUCCUGAGUGCCCAGACUGUAACUGUGUAAAUAAGAGUGUUUCAUUCAAAUGUUAAUAAACUUUACACAGUAAAUAGACACACUUUCUGCAAUGUACUGACACGAGUGUCCAAUAUAUGGUAUA
rnacentral:lncRNA from 1 species